rnacentral:rRNA from 1 species
CGGCGUGCCUAAUACAUGCAAGUCGAGCGGACAGAAGGGAGCUUGCUCCCGGAUGUUAGCGGCGGACGGGUGAGUAACACGUGGGUAACCUGCCUGUAAGACUGGGAUAACUCCGGGAAACCGGAGCAAUACCGGAUAGUUCCUUGAACCGCAUGGUUCAAGGAUGAAAGACGGUUUCGGCUGUCACUUACAGAUGGACCCGCGGCGCAUUAGCUAGUUGGUGGGGUAAUGGCUCACCAAGGCGACGAUGCGUACCGACCUGAGAGGGUGAUCGGCCACACUGGGACUGAGACACGGCCCAGACUCCUACGGGAGGCAGCAGUAGGGAAUCUUCCGCAAUGGACGAAAGUCUGACGGAGCAACGCCGCGUGAGUGAUGAAGUUUUCGGAUCGUAAAGCUCUGUUGUUAGGGAAGAACAAGUGCGAGAGUAACUGCUCGCACCUUGACGGUACCUAACCAGAAAGCCACGGCUAACUACGUGCCAGCAGCCGCGGUAAUACGUAGGUGGAAGCGUUGUCCGGAAUUAUUGGGCGUAAAGGGCUCGCAGGCGGUUUCUUAAGUCUGAUGUGAAAGCCCCCGGCUCAACCGGGGAGGGUCAUUGGAAACUGGGAAACUUGAGUGCAGAAGAGGAGAGUGAAUUCCACGUGUAGCGGUGAAAUGCGUAGAGAUGUGGAGGAACACCAGUGGCGAAGGCGACUCUCUGGUCUGUAACUGACGCUGAGGAGCGAAAGCGUGGGGAGCGAACAGGAUUAGAUACCCUGGAGUCCACGCCGUAAACGAUGAGUGCUAAGUGUUAGGGGGUUCCGCCCCUUAGUGCUGCAGCUAAC